GAGAAGCGUGACUACACAUGCAGGGUUGUGAGAUGACUGUGAUAUAUUGUUCUUUUAACCAACUCACUACUGUCUCUCUUCCUCAAGGCAUACCUUACUUUUAACAGCUGCUGCGCUCUACCAAAGAACCACCUCCAGCAGCUUUCUGUGGUGUCCAUCAAGCCCAGGGACUUCUUUUCUGACUCCUGCAACUUUGCCCUCCUCAUCUUCACCACUGAACAGAUCAGGAAGAUCUCCUGCAAAAACAUAAAAGGGCAGUUAGAAGAAGCUUUACACAGUACAUUCAGAGAAAAAUAUAUGGCAGUUACUGCUAUGAAGUUUUGGUACAUAACUAGAGAUCCCCACAACUGAAAUCCAGAUUCUCUUAUUUUCAGAAGAUGGGUGCAACUGCAUUACUUUGUUACACCUGUACAGUCACAAGGAAAUUGCUUGAUGUCAGUGAAAUCAAAUCAAAGAAAACAUAUUAAGUGAAAGAGAUUCUUAUCUCCACCAAAUCAAUGCACUCAUGCAUGAUAAGCCCUAGCAAUUUGUCUCCUCUGUGUUUUGUUAAGCAAGUUAAACUCAAUGCUCAAGCUGGCUGGGUUGAUUUGGCUUCUCUAAAGGCUUCCCUUACAAAUACCUGAAAGAGAAGUAAUCUCUCUAAAGUUCACUGAAACCACAGAUCAUUUGUCAUUGGAGAAGAUCUUUCAAGAAAUGUGUUGGUCUAAUCACUUGAUGCCAACAAGUCAUUAAUCAGCACAAGAAAGCGUUCAUCUGGAACCUGGGCAUCUGUCAGCAAAAAACACUGUGGGCAUGUUCUUGGCACCAGUCUUGAUGCACAAACUGGCAACAUCUACCUGAAAGGAAAGGAGGCAAUCAUUCAUAUUCUGUUAAAAUGUUGAUACAGAGGAAGUACGGAAUGUACAUUAGUGAAUGGGAACUCGCUGCUGACUUCUUAUAUUUUUCAGUUUGUUUACAUAUUGCUAAUUUGCUGCAUAACAUCCAAAGGGAAAGGCAGCUUGCCUCUGUUUUCUGUAUUUAAUGAUGAGCACUGAGGUUUUGACAUGACCAAGUGGUGAAGAAGCAAAUACAUCCUGUGUGAGGGUUGAGUUGAACUACAUGAUCUCCAGAGUUCCCUUCCAAUCCUUAUGAUUCUGUGAUUCUAUAAUGAAUGAAAUCUCUCCAUGAGUGUAUUAAAGGUUGGAUAUUGCAGCUCUACUGUCUUAAAAGCCUACUUUGUUAGUUCUGCAAUACUUUUUUUUUUUUUUUCCAAAAACAAGAAAGCUCUCCUAAGUAAAUUCAUUGACUGAGCGGUAUGCUGCAACUAUCGCUAUCAAAAUUCAUAGAUGCACCAGAGAGGGACACAGGACCA
rnacentral:lncRNA from 1 species